AUUCAAGGAUGUUAUCACAUUCAUAAUGACUAUCACUGUCUAAUUAAAUUAUACCAGAAUUUCUUUUGAUAUAAUUUAUGGAAAACAGGUGCAUUUGAAUAUUUUAGUUUGUUUAAUUAUAGCUUUGUUUGUUCCUAUUACUGUCUGUGCAUUUUAUGUCACACCAUACAAAGAACAUGGCAUUUGGAAUCAGCUUGGAGCCACAAUCAACCUUUACAAUAUUCUUGUUUAACUACUCGACAGCCUCAAAACUAGAGACUUCAGAUCUCCCCCAUGCUACCCAAGCUGGAAUUGUCUCUUCACUGCUCACCACCGCAUGCUUAAUAGAUUCCUGACAUUCAGCAUAUCCUCAAAAUUUUACUUCAGAUUUCACUGUUUGUUGCCUUCUAUGGUUCUCUCAGGGGAAAUAAGCUGAU
rnacentral:lncRNA from 1 species